GAUUUCUGGUUUGACGCGUUUGGCCCUCCCGGGUUCCCACUCGGUGUGCGUGCCGACGCGCGUCUGCCAUCCUCGUAGAGAACGUUUCUACCCUUCACUGGGCCGGAUUCGCGAUCUACGUCUUUUACUUUGAAAAAAUUAGAGUGUUUCAAGCAGGCUUUAUGCUAUGAAUACAUUAGCAUGGAAUAAUAAUUUAGGACUUCGGUUCUAUUUUGUUGGUUUCUAGGACUGAAGUAAUGAUUGAUAGGGAUAGUUGGGGGUGCUAGUAUUCAGCGGCCAGAGGUGAAAUUCUCGGAUUCGCUGAAGACUAACUUAUGCGAAAGCAUU
rnacentral:rRNA from 1 species